CCGAGUUGUGGGCCAUGAGGCUGAAGCACAGGACCACGCAGCACCACUCCUGGAAGCGCUUGCCUGCAGGGAGCAGAGGGGAGAGGUGAGUGUGGGCGGGUGGAAAAGGCCGGGGGACCAACGCCAGGCAGAGCUGGGACCCCAUGGGGCUCUCAACUGUGUUCUGCAAGUCUACCUGCAGGGCUAACCACAACCUGCCCAUUUCACAGAUCACAUCGCUGCGGCCCAGAGAAGGGGAAAGGCCUGCCCAAGGUCAUACAGUCAAGGGUGGAUGCCUUAAACGGAGCGUGGGACCCUUCAGAGAGCAGGCCGAUGUGGCCAGGUCCCAUGCCCAUGAGGCUGGCCCCGUAUAGACCAGUUCUUUGGCAGACGGGACCAGAACUCUGGUCUCCCAGGCCCAUCUGCGUUCUCUCUGGAGACACCUGAGGGAACUUUAAUAAGCUUCUUUUUAAAAAACUGGAAUCUUCAUGGCAUCACCAAUCCCCUUCUGCAGGUAAUCAUUUGAGGGUAGAGAUCUAUAAACAGCCGUUAAUCCCGGAGGCUCAGACCCUGCCUGACCUCCAUCAAGCAGACUCCAGGCAUCGCGUCAGGACAAACAGGGCCCUGGGGGCAGCGGGGCUCCUAGCAGGGGGCUGCCAUGGGUCAGACUGUGCAAGGCGGGAGUGUGGGCCAGGGAGGCCAGAGCGUCUGAAUCUCAGGAGGAGCCAGACAUCAGGUUUUGAGUGCAAACUCUCCUAUUUAAACGUUGCCACCUAUUUUUCUUUUCCAGGUAACAAAGCUAAGAGAGCCACGUAUUUUUAACAGGCACGUGCGCACGGACAAGCCGAUUCACACGGGAAUAACCUGAGUGUCCAUCACCUGGGGACUGGCCAAAUUAAGGCAUCUCUGCAGGUAGGACAAAGCCCGGGCAGACGUCUACGUGUGCACACCAGGAGAUGCCCAUGAUUAACAGCUGGCUGGUCUGACAUGGCUCCUGCACAUCUCGGCCUGGAAACCUCCGCCUCCAAGAAGCCAUCCAUGAUGCCUCCGCUGACCCUGUGCUUCCCCAGCAUGGGCCCAUCACUCAGGACCGUGGCCUGCAUCCGUUUGUCUUCCCUGCCCGAAUGUGAACUCGGGAGGCCAGAACCGAGUCUGGUCACUCACCAGGGCCCGGGCCUCGGUUGGUACUCAAUAAAUGCUUGUGCGACGAGCAAA